ensembl:miRNA
GAAAACAACCAGGUGGGCUUUCCGGAGGGCGGAACACCCAGCCCCAGCAUCCAGGGCUCACCUGCCACGUUUG